rnacentral:rRNA from 1 species
AGGUGGUGCAUGGUUGUCGUCAGCUCGUGUCGUGAGAUGUUGGGUUAAGUCCCGCAACGAGCGCAACCCUCGCCUCUAGUUGCCAGCAUUCGGUUGGGCACUCUAGAGGGACUGCCGGCGACAAGUCGGAGGAAGUGGGAUGACGUCAAAUCAUCAUGCCCCUUAUGACCUGGGCUACACACGUGCUACAAUGGGCGGUACAAAGGGCUGCGAACCCGCGAGGGGGAGCGAAUCCCAAAAAGCCGCUCUCAGUUCGGAUUGCAGGCUGCAACUCGCCUGCAUGAAGCCGGAAUCGCUAGUAAUCGCGGAUCAGCAUGCCGCGGUGAAUACGUUCCCGGGCCUU